GUAAGGCAACAUCGUCUUGGUUAGUUAUUUUCUGAUAAAUUACACAGUCAUCCGCAAAUAGGCAAACCUUUGAUGAAAUGUUAUUGGGUAGGUCAUUCAUGAAAAUUUUAAAAAGUAAGGGUCCCAAUAAAGACCCCUGGGGAACACCCGAUAGCACUGGCUGGGCUGGGGAAUCAACAGUAUUUGCAGAAACAAACUGAGUACUGU
rnacentral:lncRNA from 1 species